AGAGUGAUUGCUGGUUCCUAGGGUUUAGUUUUUGUAAGAAAACCUCCAAAAUAUCUUCCACAGUGGCUGUACCAUUUUGCAUCCCCACAAGCAAU
rnacentral:pre_miRNA from 1 species